UACGUAGGGUGCAAGCGUUAUCCGGAUUUACUGGGUUUAAAGGGUGCGUAGGCGGCUAUUUAAGUCAAUGGCUAAAUAUCGAUGCUCAACAUCGAAAGUGCUGUUGAAACUGGAAAGCUAGAGUUAAGAAAAAGUAGGCGGAAUUUGUGGUGUAGCGGUGAAAUGCUUAGAUAUCAUAAGGAACUCCAAUAGCGAAGGCA
rnacentral:rRNA from 1 species